rnacentral:tmRNA from 1 species
GCGGCCAAGGGUUAACUCAGUAGACACGGCUAAGCAUGUAGAACCAACAGCGGAGAACUGGCGGACGGGGGUUCAAAUCCCCCCGGCUCCACCAUUUUAGCUUUAUAAAUCAGGCACUUAGCAAAUAGCUACAGUGCCUUUUUUGUGCCUUUUAGGGCUGUUUGGGCUGGGUAAUGCCAGCUUUAUGACAGCCUCCCUGCCCACGAAGCCCAUCCGCGGCUGUCGCCUUUACCUCAACAACCGACAGAACGUUUUCCGUCGCUUUUUUGGUUUGAAAUCGCGCCCCAAAGCGUUGUCGGGGGUAUUAAAUCUGUGUCGGCUUACACACAGAGAUCCACACAUGCCCCCAAGAAGCACCCGAUCAGC